rnacentral:rRNA from 1 species
GACGAACGCUGGCGGCGUGCCUAAUACAUGCAAGUAGAACGCUGAAGGAGGAGCUUGCUUCUCUGGAUGAGUUGCGAACGGGUGAGUAACGCGUAGGUAACCUGCCUGGUAGCGGGGGAUAACUAUUGGAAACGAUAGCUAAUACCGCAUAAGAGUAGAUGUCGCAUGACAUUUGCUUAAAAGGUGCAAUUGCAUCACUACCAGAUGGACCUGCGUUGUAUUAGCUAGUUGGUGAGGUAACGGCUCACCAAGGCAACGAUACAUAGCCGACCUGAGAGGGUGAUCGGCCACACUGGGACUGAGACACGGCCCAGACUCCUACGGGAGGCAGCAGUAGGGAAUCUUCGGCAAUGGACAGAAGUCUGACCGAGCAACGCCGCGUGAGUGAAGAAGGUUUUCGGAUCGUAAAGCUCUGUUGUAAGAGAAGAACGAGUGUGAGAGUGGAAAGUUCACACUGUGACGGUAUCUUACCAGAAAGGGACGGCUAACUACGUG